UCCCAGGAGGACUAGUGGUUAGGCCACAGCGCGCUCACCGCUACGGCCCGGGUUUGAUUCCCGGCCAGAGAA
rnacentral:tRNA from 1 species